UCCACUACACCCAUUACAUCCACUCAUUACCACAACACUCACCCACUACACCCAUUACAUCCACUCAUUACCACAACAUACACCACUGCCACCUUAAUUAGAUGGUGGUCCUCUCCCCAGCCUAUAAAUACAUCCACCCUUCACCAUAACAAAAGGGAGGAGAUCUAACCUAAACACAUCAGCCAUUCCCUUCCAUAUAUCCAUACGCAUCCAUCAAACCACACCUUGUGCCGCAACAAAGAGAAGAAGGAGGACCAUUGGACGUGCUUGCCAUUCAAGUUGGAUUGUUGGAGCGUUUUUAGGUGUUUUCAUUCUUUUGUUUUCAAUGUCUAAAUUUAUUUAUCUUUUCUUUGUGAGUAUGAGGAACUAAACCCCCUCUUAGCUAGGGGGAAUUCGAAACCAUGUUCAUGCUUGCAAUAUGAUUUGAUUACUUUCGGUUGUGAUUCAUAAGUUGUGAAUUCAAUUUACUUAUCCAUUUGAAUUAAAACUGAUUUGUGUAUGUUGGUUGAGAGUCCACGCUUAAUUUUCAUGCAUAAAUCUGAUGCUAGGAUAUAAGGGAGUUUCACCUAAUCAUUAUGAACUUAUAUUCACAAGUAGUGAAGGUUGCUCGUCACAACCGUGUUAAGUAAAUUCUUGGCAUAAGUUUCAUGCAAUUCAUAGUUACAAGUGUUUCGUCAAUACUUAUGAUUUUCAUAGAACUUAAUGAUUCUUG
rnacentral:lncRNA from 1 species